rnacentral:rRNA from 1 species
UACGUAGGGUGCAAGCGUUAAUCGGAAUUACUGGGCGUAAAGCGUGCGCAGGCGGCCGCGCAAGACAGGUGUGAAAUCCCCGGGCUCAACCUGGGAACUGCACUUGUGACUGCACGGCUCGAGUACGGCAGAGGGGGAUGGAAUUCCGCGUGUAGCAGUGAAAUGCGUAGAUAUGCGGAGGAACACCGAUGGCGAAGGCAAUCCCCUGGGCCUGUACUGACGCUCAUGCACGAAAGCGUGGGGAGCAAACAGG